UACAGAGGUCUCAAGCGUUGUUCGGAUUCAUUGGGCGUAAAGGGUGCGUAGGCGGCGCGGUAAGUCGGGUGUGAAAUCUCGGAGCUUAACUCCGAAACUGCAUUCGAUACUGCGGUGCUUGAGGACUGGAGAGGAGACUGGAAUUCAUGGUGUAGCAGUGAAAUGCGUAGAGAUCAUGAGGAAGACCAGUGGCGAAGGCGAGUCCCUGGACAACUCCUGACGCUGAGGUGCGAAAGCGUGGGGAGCAAACAGG
rnacentral:rRNA from 1 species